UACGUAGGGUGCGAGCGUUAAUCGGAAUACUGGGCGUAAAGCGUGCGCAGGCGGUUCGUUGUGUCGGUGGUGAAAUCCCCGGGCUUAACCUGGGAAUGGCCAUGGAAACUGGCGAACUGGAGUGCGGCAGAGGGGGUGGAAUUCCGCGUGUAGCAGUGAAAUGCGUAGAGAUGCGGAGGAACACCGAUGGCGAAGGCAGCCCCCUGGGCUAGCACUGACGCUCAGGCACGAAAGCGUGGGGAGCAAACAGG
rnacentral:rRNA from 1 species